rnacentral:rRNA from 1 species
UGCAAAGUCGAGCGGACAGAUGGGAGCUUGCUCCCUGAUGUUAGCGGCGGACGGGUGAGUAACACGUGGGUAACCUGCCUGUAAGACUGGGAUAACUCCGGGAAACCGGGGCUAAUACCGGAUGGUUGUUUGAACCGCAUGGUUCAAACAUAAAAGGUGGCUUCGGCUACCACUUACAGAUGGACCCGCGGCGCAUUAGCUAGUUGGUGAGGUAACGGCUCACCAAGGCAACGAUGCGUAGCCGACCUGAGAGGGUGAUCGGCCACACUGGGACUGAGACACGGCCCAGACUCCUACGGGAGGCAGCAGUAGGGAAUCUUCCGCAAUGGACGAAAGUCUGACGGAGCAACGCCGCGUGAGUGAUGAAGGUUUUCGGAUCGUAAAGCUCUGUUGUUAGGGAAGAACAAGUACCGUUCGAAUAGGGCGGUACCUUGACGGUACCUAACCAGAAAGCCACGGCUAACUACGUGCCAGCAGCCGCGGUAAUACGUAGGUGGCAAGCGUUGUCCGGAAUUAUUGGGCGUAAAGGGCUCGCAGGCGGUUUCUUAAGUCUGAUGUGAAAGCCCCCGGCUCAACCGGGGAGGGUCAUUGGAAACUGGGGAACUUGAGUGCAGAAGAGGAGAGUGGAAUUCCACGUGUAGCGGUGAAAUGCGUAGAGAUGUGGAGGAACACCAGUGGCGAAGGCGACUCUCUGGUCUGUAACUGACGCUGAGGAGCGAAAGCGUGGGGAGCGAACAGGAUUAGAUACCCUGGUAGUCCACGCCGUAAACGAUGAGUGC